UACGUAUGGAGCAAGCGUUAUCCGGAUUUACUGGGUGUAAAGGGAGCGCAGGCGGCUUUGCAAGUCUGAUGUGAAGGGCCGGGGCUCAACCCCGGGACUGCAUUGGAAACUGUAAAGCUAGAGUGCCGGAGAGGUAAGCGGAAUUCCUAGUGUAGCGGUGAAAUGCGUAGAUAUUAGGAGGAACACCAGUGGCGAAGGCGGCUUACUGGACGGCAACUGACGCUGAGGCUCGAAAGCGUGGGGAGCAAACAGG
rnacentral:rRNA from 1 species